rnacentral:lncRNA from 1 species
UUGCCCCUUUCUAGGAUAAACUCUUUUUCCAUAAAAGUAGCAUGCUUACUGACAAAUACCUUAUAUUCAGUAUAAUGGUAGAAGAGGUAUCCUAUAUUCUCUUUAAGAUAAUCUACAUAUAAGCAUCUAUCUAUCUUAGCACUUAGCUUAUGUCCAAAAUUUCUUUUUACAUAAGCCGAGUAGCUCCAAAUCUUAAGAUACUUAAUAUUAAGCUUUUUAUCUCUCCAAAUCUCAUAUGGAG